UCAUAUUGAUCCUAGAAGACGAAGGUUGCGUGUCUAAGACAAUGCACGAAGGGGAGGUACCCCCAAGCGGGUGACCCGAGUCACCCGACAUGCUAAGCCCAACCCGCAGCUUAGCAAGCUACAUGCUUGAGGAAAACAUACAGCCCAUGCUGCAUGCCCCAUCAGGUAGGCCGACCGUGGCCCAUCAGGAAGACCCAAAGAUUAGCCCUGAUCUUGAGGUCUGAUCUAGCGGACUCGCACCCAAGGGAGAAGGAACCAGGCCAAAUGCCCGACCUAGCAACAGUCGUUGGCCCAGCCGAGGAGAAACCCGAGUGGGCCGCAGAGCGGUGAGGCCGAAAGGCCGCUCGCACACAUACGGGCUUCAAUAACCUGCACAGGUGAGGGGUGUGUGUGUGGUAAGUUUCGAACUUCUUUCCUUCACAUGGCCCAUGUGAUUUUUUAGCCUAAA
rnacentral:lncRNA from 1 species